CUCGGAGUUUGAUCCUGGCUCAGAUUGAACGCUGACGGAAUGCUUUACACAUGCAAGUCGAACGGUAGAGGGGGCAACCCCUUGAGAGUGGCGAACGGGUGAGUAAUAUAUCGGAACGUGCCCAGUCGUGGGGGAUAACGUAGCGAAAGUUACGCUAAUACCGCAUACGAUCUACGGAUGAAAGCGGGGGAUCGCAAGACCUCGCGCGAUUGGAGCGGCCGAUAUCAGAUUAGGUAGUUGGUGGGGUAAAGGCUCACCAAGCCAACGAUCUGUAGCUGGUCUGAGAGGACGACCAGCCACACUGGAACUGAGACACGGUCCAGACACCUACGGGUGCAGCAG
rnacentral:rRNA from 1 species